UUUUUACAGUUGCUCAAAUAAAAACAAUACAUUUUAAUACGAAGACUACCUUAGAGUACAUUUUUACACUGAAAACCAUGAUUCAAGUCAUUUUUUAUAUUUCUUUAUAUAUUCUGGGAACAUGGGAAAUAAAUAUACAUUUCUUAAUAUGAAAAUUUGGCUUGAUGUUCAUACAUAGAAACACAAACAUUCACCUGAAAUAAUCCUUGUUACAAUAGCUAAAAUGAUUACUGGGGCAAGGCAAACUUGAUUUUUUUUUUUCUCCUUAAAUAUCAUAACAUAAAUCCUUUUAAAAUAUAGCCCCACGUGCACACACUGAACUAGAAUUCCUAUCCAAGUGAUCAAAUU